rnacentral:rRNA from 1 species
AAUCUUGGACAAUGGUCGCAAGCCUGAUCCAGCCAUGCAGCGUGAUUGAAGAAGGCCUUCGGGUAGUAAAUCUCUUUCGUUCGGCAAGAAAUCGCGCAGGCUAAUAGCCUGCGCGGAUGACUGUACCGCCAUAAGAAGCAUCGGCUAACUACGUGACAGCAGCCGCGGUAAUAGGUAGGGUGCGAGCGUUAAUCAGAAUUACUGGGCGUAAAGCGUGCGCAGGCGGUUGAUUAAGACAGGCGUGAAAUCCCCGGGCUUAACCUGGGAACUGCGCUUGUGACUGGUCAGCUAGAGUACGGCAGAGGGGGGUGGAAUUCCACGUGUAGCAGUGAAAUGCGUAGAGAUGUGGAGGAACACCGAUGGCGAAGGCAGCCCCCUGGGCCGAUACUGACGCUCAUGCACGAAAGCGUGGGUAGCAAACAGG